rnacentral:rRNA from 1 species
UACGUAGGGUGCAAGCGUUAUCCGGAAUUAUUGGGCGUAAAGAGCUCGUAGGCGGUUUGUCGCGUCUGCUGUGAAAACUGGAGGCUCAACCUCCAGCCUGCAGUGGGUACGGGCAGACUAGAGUGCGGUAGGGGAGAUUGGAAUUCCUGGUGUAGCGGUGGAAUGCGCAGAUAUCAGGAGGAACACCGAUGCGAAGGCAGAUCUCUGGGCCGUAACUGACGCUGAGGAGCGAAAGCAUGGGGGAGCGAACAGG